CUGGAUUGGCUGCCUGGGACCACACAGAAGAGUCGAGAAAGGCCCCUUCCCAUAAACAUCUCUGCCCUGGGCAAUAAGCCUCCUGAUGGGGAGGUUGAUGGAAUAGCAGGAUUAGAGCAGCCAGCCAAGCCUUCUCUGGUCCUGGUGCCAGAGAAAUGGGGGGCUACCCCUCUAUCUUGUCUGCAGUGGCCCUCUCACUUGUGGAAACACAUCUCCAAGGUAGGACAAGUUGGCUGUGGAUGGGCAGACCUUUAUGGCCUCCCAGUAGGCCUGACUCCCACACAAGUUUCCUUUUCAAAGUUCUGUAGCUUAGGAGAAAGGCCCUUGGAGUGAGGGGACUUGAGCUCCAGGCCAGAUGCUACCACCCACCUAGCAGCCCAGCCCGAGAGCCAGGGAAGAGCAAAAAGGCCAUUUUGUCUCAAAUAUUGAGUAGACCAAGGGGAAUCAGCAUGAAUUAAGCCUGGAGAGGUGGCCAACAUCAAGCCAUGCUGUGAAAUGCCAAGAAGAGACUGUUUUAUUUUGUCACCAGCCCACUGAAGAUCGAGGAGGAGCAAAACGAUGUAUUUGAGGACAUCUGCUCAUCUGAAUGAGCUCAGUCUCUCACUUGAGAGAUGAUGGAACCGAAUCCCAGAAACAGGAAGGGCUUUGUCCACAGUUACUCAGGCCAACUGAAGAGUGUCCUAUAUUAUGUCAUCCAGAAAAUGUUGUCAUUGUGAACUUGUCUCCUCCCAUCCUUGGGAUCUGCCAUGGAAACUUCACCCCCAAAGGAUCUGAGGCUUCUGAGCAAAGCUUUGAAUCUUGGGUGUAUUUGGAGAAGGAUGGUAGGGAUUGCAAAUAAAUGAUGUAAUGAUUUCAGCACUGAGAGUAUUGUUUUCUUGCUGCAUCUAAAG
rnacentral:lncRNA from 1 species